CAGUGGGGAAUCUUGCGCAAUGGCCUAACGGCUGACGCAGCGACGCCGCGUGUGGGAUGAAGCUCUUCGGAGUGUAAACCACUGUUGCCCGGGACGAAYAGCUCGAUUAAUCGAGCCUGACGGUACCGGGUGAGGAAGCACCGGCUAACUCCGUGCCAGCAGCCGCGGUAAUACGGGGGGUGCGAGCGUUGUCCGGAAUCACUGGGCGUAAAGGGCGCGUAGGUGGUUUGAUAAGGGUGUGGUGAAAGUCCGGGGCUCAACCCCGGAUCUGCCGUGCCGACUGUCAAACUCGAGGACUGUAGAGGCAGACGGAAUUCCGGGUGUAGCGGUGGAAUGCGUAGAGAUCCGGAGGAAGACCGGUGGCGAAGGCGGUCUGCUGGGCAGUUUCUGACACUGAUGCGCGACAGCGUGGGGAGCAAACAGGAUUAGAUACCCUGGUAGUCCACGCCGUAAACGAUGGGUACUAGGUGCCUGGGGGAGCGACCCUCUGGGUGCCGGCGCUAACGCAGGAAGUACCCCGCCUGGGGAGUACGACCGCAAGGUUGAAACUCAAAG
rnacentral:rRNA from 1 species